rnacentral:rRNA from 1 species
UACGGAGGGGGUUAGCGUUGUUCGGAAUUACUGGGCGUAAAGCGCACGUAGGCGGAUUGGAAAGCAAGAGGUGAAAUCCCAGGGCUCAACCCUGGAACUGCCUUUUGAACUAUCAGUCUAGAGUUCGAGAGAGGUGAGUGGAAUUCCAAGUGUAGAGGUGAAAUUCGUAGAUAUUUGGAGGAACACCAGUGGCGAAGGCGGCUCACUGGCUCGAUACUGACGCUGAGGUGCGAAAGCGUGGGGAGCAAAC